UACAGGGGGGGCAAGCGUUGUUCGGAAUUAUUGGGCGUAAAGAGCUCGUAGGCGGUCUGUCACGUCGACUGUGAAAUCCCGAGGCUCAACCUCGGGCCUGCAGUCGAUACGGGCAGACUAGAGUUCGGUAGGGGAGACUGGAAUUCCUGGUGUAGCGGUGAAAUGCGCAGAUAUCAGGAGGAACACCGGUGGCGAAGGCGGCGACCUGGGUCGACACUGACGCUGAGGCGCGAAAGCGUGGGGAGCAAACAGG
rnacentral:rRNA from 1 species